ACGAGGGGGGCAAGCGUUGUUCGGAAUUAUUGGGCGUAAAGGGCGCGUAGGCGGUGCGGUAAGUCACCUGUGAAAACUCUGGGCUCAACUCAGAGCCUGCAGGCGAAACUGCCGUGCUUGAGUGUGGGAGAGGUGCGUGGAAUUCCCGGUGUAGCGGUGAAAUGCGUAGAUAUCAGGAGGAACACCGGUGGCGAAGGCGGGACUCUGGGCCGAUACUGACGCUGAGGAGCGAAAGCGUGGGGAGCAAACAGGA
rnacentral:rRNA from 1 species